GGUGAUGUAGACCAACUGGAAGGAGUCGCCACGCUCAGAACGUGGACAGUGUGGGUUCAAAUCCCACCGUCACCAC
rnacentral:tRNA from 1 species